GAGAGUUAUAGGUUGCCAGGUUGAUGGUUAUAGGUUGCCAGGUUGAAGGUUAUAGGUUGCCAGGUUGAAGGUUACAGGUUGCCAGGUUGAGGGUUAUAGGUUGCCAGGUUGAUGGUUAUAGGUUGCCAGGUUGAUGGUUAUAGGAUGCCAGGUUGAUGGUUACAGGUUGCCAGGUUGAUGGUUAUAGGUUGCCAGGUUGAUGGUUAUAGGAUGCCAGGUUGAUGGUUACAGGUUGCCAGGUUGAUGGUUAUAGGAUGCCAGGUUGAUGGUUACAGGUUGCCAGGUUGAUGGUUAUAGGUUGCCAGGUUGAGGGUUAUAGGUUGCCAGGUUGAGGGUUAUAGGUUGCCAGGUUGAGAGUUAUAGGUUGAGGGUUAUAGGUUGCCAGGUUGAGAGUUAUAGGUUGCCAGGUUGAGAGUUAUAGGUUGCCAGGUUGAGGUGACAAACGGGUUGAACAUUGUAUAUGGUGGAUUGUGUGGAUGCGUUUCAUACAAGAUCUGGCAACUGGUCAACAUUAGACAAACAUAUUGGUCCGAUUAUUUAUAAAGGAGUUUGGGUCAUGCAAAUUACGGGAG